CAGCUCCUCAAGUGGUCAGGAUGAUUAUUGGGCCUAAAGCAUCCGUAGCCUGCUUUGUUAGUUUUCGGUUAAAUCCAUACGCUCAACGUAUGGGCUGCCGGGAAUACUGCAAAGCUAGGGAGUGGGAGAGGUAGACGGUACUCGGUAGGAAGGGGUAAAAUCCUUUGAUCUAUUGAUGACCACCUGUGGCGAAGGCGGUCUACCAGAACACGUCCGACGGUGAGGGAUGAAAGCUGGGGGAGCAAACCGGAUUAGAGACCCGAGUAGUCC
rnacentral:rRNA from 1 species